rnacentral:rRNA from 1 species
UACGUAGGGUGCAAGCGUUAAUCGGAAUUACUGGGCGUAAAGCGUGCGCAGGCGGUUUCUUAAGUCAGAUGUGAAAGCCCCGGGCUUAACCUGGGAACUGCGUUUGAAACUGGGUGACUUGAGUGUGGCAGAGGGGGGUGGAAUUCCACGUGUAGCAGUGAAAUGCGUAGAUAUGUGGAGGAACACCGAUGGCGAAGGCAGCCCCCUGGAUCAGCACUGACGCUCAUGCACGAAAGCGUGGGGAGCAAACAGG